UACGGGGGGUGCAAGCGUUAUUCGGAAUUAUUGGGCGUAAAGAGCGCGUAGGCGGCCUUUUAAGUCAGAUGUGAAAGCCCGGGGCUUAACCCCGGAAGUGCAUUUGAAACUGGGAGGCUUGAGUAUGGGAGAGGGAAGUGGAAUUCCUGGUGUAGAGGUGAAAUUCGUAGAUAUCAGGAGGAACACCGGUGGCGAAGGCGACUUCCUGGACCAAUACUGACGCUGAGGCGCGAAGGCGUGGGGAGCAAACAGG
rnacentral:rRNA from 1 species